UGGGGAAUAUUGCGCAAUGGGGGAAACCCUGACGCAGCGACGCCGUGUGAGGGAAGAAGGCUUUCGGGUCGUAAACCUCUGUCAGAAGGGAAGAACCCUCCAGGUCCGAACAGGGCCUGGAGCUGACGGUACCUUCAAAGGAAGCACCGGCUAACUCCGUGCCAGCAGCCGCGGUAAUACGGAGGGUGCAAGCGUUAAUCGGAAUCACUGGGCGUAAAGCGCGCGUAGGCCGCCUUUUAAGUCGGACGUGAAAGCCCUCGGCUCAACCGAGGAACUGCGUUCGAUACUGGGAGGCUUGAGUCCUGGAGAGGGUGGCGGAAUUCCGGGUGUAGGAGUGAAAUCCGUAGAUAUCCGGAGGAACACCGGUGGCGAAGGCGGCCACCUGGACAGGUACUGACGC
rnacentral:rRNA from 1 species